rnacentral:misc_RNA from 1 species
AAAAUCCAUCGAUGGGAAUUAUGGAACAUUAAAUGUAACAAACAAACAGUAUAAUGGAAUAAUUGGAAUGGCUCAAAGACAGGAAGUUGACGUUUCAAUUGGAGGUGUGGUUCAAAUCUACGAAAGGUUUGGAUUUAUAGAUUUUUCAUCUUUGACUUCUCAAACUGAAGUAUCCUUUUUGAUUCGUAAACCUGGUUCACUUCCAAGAUGGAUUGCCUUUUUUUUCUCCAUUUGAGUUAUCAGUAUGGACUGGCUUAUUAAUAAUUUUAAUCGUUUACAUAUCCGCCAGCUUCAUUCUCAUAUCCAUGACAUCAAGAUCUAAAAAAGAAACGGCAUUAGCAUACAUUUUAUUAAAUAUAUGGGCAUCAUUUAUGAAUCAAGGCAUUACACACCCUCAACGAUCAUCACUCCGAAUUCUUCGGGCAGCUUGGUUCUUAUUUUCAUUAUGCAUUGUGUCCAGUUAUGCCGGCAGCCUCUUUUCAUGGUUAACUGUACCUAAAUAUGAGCCAUCAAUUGAUUCACUUGAGCAGCUCUUAAAUUCUUCGCUGAAAAUUAUAACUCUAAAAGGAACUUACCACAAUGACAUAUUCAAAAACUCUGAGGAUCCAUUGUUUCAAAGGACUUAUACACGAAUUUAUAGAGGUCCAACCCUAUGUACAAGUUUUUCAGAGUGUUUUCAUUUCAUUAAUAACAAUAUAGGGUAAGACUUUCAUUCUGUAAUAGGUAUUUGAUUUCUUUAAACAUUAAAAAGAUAUACAUAAUUAUACAUCAAUAGUUACAGUUUUAUCUUCGAGAUAGAUGUCCUGGAAUCCUUUAUUUCCACGUUUCCUACACAUCAUGGAAGACAAAUUAAAGUACGAAUGGCGAAAGAAGGGUUCUAUGAAAUUCAAUGUGCAACAGUCUUUCGCAAAAAUCAUCCCUUGAGAUAUGAAUACAAUAACUAGUAAAAUAUUUUUAUAAAAAACAUAUGUGAUUCGUCAACACAAAAACAAGUUUUAUUAUUUGUUUUUCAAA